AUUGAACGCUGGCGGCAUGCCUUACACAUGCAAGUCGAACGGUAACAGGUUAAGCUGACGAGUGGCGAACGGGUGAGUAAUGUAUCGGAACGUGCCCAGUCGUGGGGGAUAACUGCUCGAAAGAGCAGCUAAUACCGCAUACGACCUGAGGGUGAAAGCGGGGGAUCGCAAGACCUCGCGCGAUUGGAGCGGCCGAUAUCAGAUUAGGUAGUUGGUGAGUUAAUGGCUCACCAAGCCGACGAUCUGUAGCUGGUCUGAGAGGACGACCAACCACACUGGAACUGAGACACGGCCCAGUCUCCUAAGGGAGGCAGCAGUGGGGAAUUUUGGACAAUGGGCGCAAGCCUGAUCCAGCCAUGCCGCGUGCGGGAAGAAGGCCUUCGGGUUGUAAACCGCUUUUGUCAGGGAAGAAAAGGUUCUGGCUAAUACCUGGGACUCAUGACGGUACCUGAAGAAUAAGCACCGGCUAACUACGUGCCAGCCGCCGCGGUAAGAC
rnacentral:rRNA from 1 species